UGAUGCAAAAAAAGAAAAAAAAAAAAAAAAAGAGGGGGGUAGAUUGAUUUCAAAAGUUGCGAGUUGCGUUUAUAGCAAUCUUGAGUGAUGGGGCCAUCGACUUUCGCACCCCUCUGAUCCGCGGGAGAGCACCAGAGUGUUUUUUGCACAACCUGGUGGGGUGCGACCCCCGCAACACCCGCGGGACGCGGUACCUGCUCCCGCAUCUCUGCUGCUUCGAGCCAGUGACCGUGGGAACAAUUUACAGAGGAGUGCGGGAGCCAAGGACAAACGCCUCAGCCCCAGUGAGACGUUUGAAAAUCAACUUAAACCCGCGCUUCAUUCUCAGUGACUCCCAUCUUUUUCCUCGUUCUAUUGUUUAAGCCUAGCUCCGCAGUUCAGGGGACUCCCAGUGAAAUGUGCACAUGCCCUGUAAAGUUUCUUGAAUAUUUGAUGCGCAUUUUGGGGAAGGGGGAGUUUAUGUUGCCCGGUUGCAUCAUUUGUUCUUCCCAUGUCCUAGUAAACAUGGCAGACUAAUCCCGUGUGCUUGAAUUGACAUUGGUGAUGCAGUUUCAUUUCAUGGAGUAACUUCAGAUUUCCGACUUGGUAAUGCAUUGCGGAUACAAAGUGCUUUCAUUUGAAGGACUUCCCUGGAAAGCUGAGCAGCGCGAACUUGGUUUGGAUAUAUGUCCUCGUAUUCCAAAUUAUUUGGGAGCAGAAUUGUUGGGGGUAACCGAACUGGGCUUUUACGGCUGUUUUAGGUUUGCAUGUUACGAAGAUGUCCUUUUAAUUCCUGAAAUUGCCGUUUGCCAGUUUCUUAGGACUGGAAUCUAGGAUGCAAAGUGUGGCCAGAUGGACGCAAGUGCCUCCUGUCUUUGUGUUUUUUUCUCCACAAUACAUUUGGGAGAAUACAGUAGCACCUGAGCUCCUUAUCGUUAGACUUCUGAACAUCGCUUUAUUGUUGAUGAACAUGGAGUUUCCUGUGAAUGGUCGGGAGAGAGGGCACAAACACCAGACAUGGGCACAUAAAAGACAGCUCUGUGAAGACAGUGGCCAGGAAUGGAGAGUGAUGCAACCACAAGGAAACAGCUCAAGGACAGCCCACCAACACUCGCUUCUGGAAGAGGCAAGGAAGGUGUCUUCCCUAGAACAGAAGAAGCUAGCUCCAGCACAGGGACGGACACAGUUCAGCACCGUCACCACUGCAACCUGAGGAAUUUCCCCUGAUCGGUUAGGGACCUUGACGCUGGUAAAACCAGAUCCCUGGCUUCCACACAAAAUCACCUCAGGACUGGUCAGAAGAAUGAGUGUAUGAAAAACAGACAAAGAAUAAAGCACACCCAGCGCAAAGAGUAUGGGCUUCUUGGGAGUCAUCGAUUAUUAAAUAGCGUAUUAAACACAGAUUUUUUUUUUUUUGAAAUUUGUUUAUUUCUGUACAUUGGGGUUUUGCCUGUAUGUGUGAGGAUUCCAGGUACCCUGGAACUGGAGUUACAGACAGUUGUGAACUGCCGUGUGGGUGCUGGGUAUUAAACGCAGGUCCUUUUGGAAGAGCAACUAGUGCUCUUAACCCCUGAGCCAUCUCUCCAGCUCCUAACACAGAUCUGAAACGGGGAUGGAGGAGUUAAGAGAGAACGUGCUCUGGGAAUGAAGACACACCCAAGUGUGUGGGCUCCUCAAAGGAGAGUAGCAAUUAAGUGUCUAAGCAGGAGACUUAUGUAUCCUUCUGUGGCUUUCAAGGAGCAUCGCAGAGGGUUGCUAAGAAUUUUUUUCCUUUUCUCUCUUCCAUGCCUAAUAUUAGCUUCAGUGGUGCCUCCAUGGGAUUAUAAUCUGAUUAGGUCAAUCUAGAUGUUGUUAGGAUUGCAGAAGGAGAUUAGGACAAUGUUCCUUUACUGGAAAGGGGUUUUCUGGCAAGAUUCUAAGAAAAUCACAGCUGUACAGCUGGGAAGGGAGAAAGGCAUUAAGUAAAUGUUGUUGACUAUGUUGAAAUUCUUUUUAUUUUUUUUAUUUUUUUGGUUUUUUCGAGACAGGGUUUCUCUGUGUAGCUUUGCGCCUUUCCUGGGACUCACUUGGUAGCCCAGGCUGGCCUCGAACUCACAGAGAUCCGCCUGCCUCUGCCUCCCGAGUGCUGGGAUUAAAGGUGUGCACCACCACCGCCCGGCGAAAUUCUUUUUAAAGACUGAAUUUUAAAUGAUGUUUAUGUGUCUCUGUGUGGGUAUGUGCAUAUGAGUGCUAGGACCUGAAGGAGCCAGGUAAGUCAAAUCUCAUGGGGCUGGAGUUACAGGCAGUUGAGAGCCACCCAACAGGGGUGCUGUGAACCGACCUCAGGUCCUCUUCAAGACAGUGCACGGUCUCAACUGCUGAGCCAUCCCACCAGUCCCGCUUUCUUUUUACCUGAGACAGGGUCUCACUAUGUAGUCCUGGCUGUCCUGGAACUCAUGCAGACCAGGCUGGCCUCAAACUCAGAGAUCUGCCUGCCUCUGCCUCCUGAAUGCUGUUGUGCUGGGAUUCUUUUUUUUUUUUUUUUUUUUUUGGUUUUUCGAGACAGGGUUUCUCUGUGUAGCUUUGCGCCUUUCCUGGAACUCACUUGGUAGCCCAGGCUGGCCUCGAACUCACAGAGAUCCACCUGGCUCUGCCUCCCGAGUGCUGGGAUUAAAGGCCUGCGCCACCACCGCCCGGCGUGCUGGGAUUCUUAACCGUGGAGAGUUUCCUUCUCCAUAUCUCCUGGUUUUCUCUGUUCUUCUGUUCUGUUUCACAUUGACACCUAAUUUCAAGUUACCAGUUUCCAGAACCUGGAAAAUUGAUUUAUACCACUUUUCUUUUUCUUUUGGUUUUUCAAGACAGGGUUUCUUUGUGUAGCCCUGGCUGUCCUGGAACUCAGUUUGAAGACCAGGCUGGCCUUGAACUCAGAGAUCCACCUGUCUCUGCCUCCUGAGAGCUGGGAUUAAAGGCGUGCACCACCACCAUCCAAUGAUUUAUACCACUUUUAGAGUACCCAGUCAUGGAGCUGAGAGAUGGCGCAUAGCUUAGAAAUGAAUACCCCUCUAGCAGCAGCAGGUAGCUCAGUCACCUGUAACUCAAAUUCCAAAGGGAUCCGAGACCUCUGGCCUCCCUGGUGAAUGAAAAGAAGUAAAAAAGAAAGGACAUGACUGCUCCUAGGUAUGGUGGAGGAGAAAGUUUACUGUAUGUAGGUAGAAGUUUCUGUCUCGACCGUUCCUGGAGCUAUUCAGUCCCAAAUAAACACACAGAGGCUUAUAUUAA